rnacentral:lncRNA from 1 species
AUAAUAAGCAUUAUCCCACAGUUCUGCCUUUUAAUGUGGCAUAGCCAUAUUUGCUUAUAAUUUUUAUUCUACACAUAUCACUGCUUCUCAGUGUGUACAUACUGGGGAAGGGGGUCAUUUUGACCCAGAAGGAUUUUUGAAUCAUCAAAUAUUUUCAAAUCGAAGGUUUUUCUAGUCUAGCUUCAUUCAGAUGAGCGUUGUGCAUCGAAGUUCAAGUCCCAAGAGAUGUUAUCAGUCGGAACGGCCGAGUGAACAAAUAUUUGUGAACCUCCUUCCAAAUGAAAUGUUCUAUAGAAGGGUGGAAGUGGUAAGAGACCGUUGAAACAGUGGUUAAGAAGGUUAUAUUUAUUUGGCCAUCAGCUCGUCUCAUGGUCUGAAGGAUGAUGAUGAUGAGGAAGAGGAGGAAGAAGAGAAGAUGAGGAACUUUUCCAAAAUAGGCAGUUUAACUCAUAAUAGACCCAAUUUCUAAAUACGAGGUUGGACUACGUCAUCUCUAAACGCAACCACUGGUCUGAAAAUAUGAGCUGUGUCAUAGAUACGGAGAACAAACAGGUGGUUGCCAAAGGAUGGGGGGAUUGGGCAAAAGAGGUGAAGGGAAUUCAGGGCCCCAAACUUCCAGUUAUAACAUAAAAAAGUCACAGAGAUAUAAUGUAAAGUCAGGGGGAAAUACAGUCAAUAUUGCAAUAACUGUGUAUGGUGGCCAAUGGUCCCCAGAUUUACAAGUGUGGGAAUCAACUCGGGUAAUGUACACAAAUGUCAAAUCACUAUACUGUACUCAAAACUCAUGUAAGCCACUACAUUCGUGGUAAACCACUAGUGUAAAACUAGUGCACACCACCACUACACUGCCGUAGUGGUUGAGUUUCAAUAAAAGUUAUGUGCAUCAACUCUAUUUCAACAAAAAAUUAAAAGUAACAAAACAAGGUAACAUUAUGAGAUUCAUUACACCUGGGCUUUAAUUUCCAAUUUUGGUUUAAUAUGUAUGACCUAACUUUAAAAAUCAGUUUACAGACAGACUAUCCUAAGGGCAAACAGUCCAACAAGACUUGCUCCAAUUCAAAGAAAAUCUUGAUAAGCAUUUUUUUUUCCUUUGUGGUUAUUAUAAAGUAUUUAAGUUCAAUUUUUAAAAAAUCCACUAUAUUUGAUUGUCAUUAUUUGAGUCAACAUGUUUCAAGUUAUGUUUCAGAGCACGGUUAGUUGAAACAGCCCAGAUCUUACUCAUCAAAAGACUUGGAAUAUUCACAGAAACUCUGUCACUCAUUAUUUCUCAGAGUUUAAAGAAGUUUAUGAACAUCACUGAGAAUCUGUCUUUUCAGUUUUGAAAGGGAAGUUAUAAUACUGACUUUGAAGUAUCUUGGCCAGUGAAAAAAACGCUACACAUAUAAGUUAUCAAGUGAAAUUAAAAGCUAAAGAAAUAAUAGCUACUAUAAAUAAAAACAUUCACAUUUGUUUAUCUGUGCUCAUUUGUCUUAAUGUUACCAAAAUUUAUUUUUAAAUGUUUUAUUUUAAGAUGUUAUGUUCCUACAUUCCUAAAUCUAUCUCCAUUUUACAUUUUGUUAGGGCUUGCAUGCUAUUUCUUUUUUUUUUUUUUAAUUAAAGUAUAGUUGAUUGAC